CUGUAAGGUGUCUUGCCCAAUGG
rnacentral:piRNA from 1 species